AUUUACGUGAGGUCAUGACUAGUCAAGAUUAUGUUGGUUUUCGAUUGUCUUAAUGGAACGAAUUAUGGAUGCUAGAACCCUAAAACUUUAAAAGAUACCCUAAGCACGUAGGAUUAGACUUUGUCUUAUGACAAUUUCUUCACAAACUUAUCGACUCUUCAUCAAUGAAGGUCCGGGCGACAGAAAGUGAAGCCGAAGAAGAAGCGACUCCACGCCAGCUUUAAGAACGUUUAAGGUGGCAUUACUUUACUACGUAUAUAGAGAUCCCUGCGUGUCGUAGCCUCUUAUACGAAUAUAUGCAUGAGAUGAUUUUAACUGUUAAUUUACAGUUUAUUAUUAUGCCCAAAUGAUAAAUGAAAUGUUUAUGAAAAUGAAAUGUUUAUGAAAUGAAAUGAAAUGUUUAUGAAAUGAUUGACUGCCAAAAAUGUUUAUGUUUUUAUAUGUAUCCUAUCUGUGUUGGUUCGCCAACUUUAAAGGAAAUCCAAUUGGGAUCCUAUGCUAGACAAAGGUCGCUAGCUAGGGUUAACGUGUACACUCAUGGAGACCGCGAGUCGCUUGCGACCGGUCUUGGCGUCCGUGGUAAGGAGGCCUCCUUCCCGGCGCGUGACUGAAAGGACAGAUAUGGAUCAUAUAGACUGAAAAUGGGAUGGCCAUCCAACUUUAUGAAAAUGACAGAAAUGUUUUAGUAAGCGCAGGUCAUUUAAGAAAACUCCUGUGUGUUACUGUUAUGGCAGUUCAAUUUAUAUAUGUAUGCAUGAUGUUUUUCGGCUUAUGCCACUGAGUAUUUUUAUACUCAGCCCUGCAUAUAUUUCUAAAUGUGCAGGUUGAGCAGGCGAUGGAAUGGUUUGGUGUUGAGCGGGAAUUUUUUUGAUGGAUACGUAAUGAAACCUUGAGUAUGCAUCUCCAUAUGCAUAACUCACACGUUUUUCCGCUGCAAACACUCUGAAUUUGUUAUCGUAUUAUGGAACUUACUCUUUCACUUUGUUUAACUUUCCCUUGGGCCUGGUCGUUAUGGCAUAAUCGUUUGUAAAAUAUCCAAGCAGUUGUUUAUAUAUCACUAGUUGUUGUUAUUAAUGUUGGUUACUUAGCAAAUCCCCUUUAAUUUCCUUUUCUUAUUGUUCACCCAAGUCAUUACCCCGAUUAACCCGUCACUAGGAUAGUGGGCUGUGACAAGAAUUCAUCAAGAGCUUUUGGCUCCAGCACUACCAAUCUUAGAUUGUAAAGUGCUUGUCGAUAAUUUUUGCGCUUCUCUUCUCUUGAUGCUUCAAAGAAACUCAUUCCAAGAAAAUGGAUUUUAAUUUGGUGGGAGGCAUUUUCAAAGAUUUCCAGAGUUGAUUCUUUGGUGAACAACUCAUUCUUAGCCUCCUUGAUGCCUUAUCCCAAAAUUUUUUGCAUUCCAGCAAAACUUGCCUCGAAGAUUUUGAUAAAUUCAUUUCUAUCAUAUUCUAUCGUGGCAAUCACGACCUUCAUAGCUGAAGCCCAGUCAUCGAUGAGAACUUCCCAUUUUAAAGCUGGCUUCAUCGAGGUUGAGAAUCAAUCCGUAGGGUGGAUUGGUUCAAGUGUGGCUUCCUACAGGGUGUCCUGCAUCUUGGGCCGCGUCUUCUGGUUCGUUGAUAAUGGCUCGAUUCUUCACGAGCCCCACCUCUCCUGGAGAUUCUUCUUGUGGGUGCUCUGUUUGGGCACUCACCUCUGGUUCAUCUUUAGAUCACCAUUUAGGUUAGCAAAUGAUUCUGCUAACUCUUGUAGAUCUCUAAUCCAUUGAUCAGGGUUAUCAUGGUUUUUCCCUUUCACGAUUCAUUAUGUCCUCCGGCUGCAGUUCUUGGGGCUGCAUUAAGUGGAGCGAUGUUGGGUCUUUGGACCAUGUAUUCCAAUUUUUUGACAUGGUUUUCCCUUUCAUAUCCUCCACUUUCCUGAAUAUCACGCAAGAGUUUUAGAUUUCCUCUUGUUUGAGUGAUAUUUGGCUCAUCUCCAUCGGUAGAUCAUAUAGCUUCUUUCCAUAAUAUUCCACCGUUCUUGAAUCUCCCGCAAGUUGACAUUGUCGGAAGAGUUUGGCUCGAAUCUUUUGAUAAGCUGGAUAGGUGUUCCAGCUUUGUCAUUAUGCUCCAUUAGUCGUGUGACUGAUGGGCUCGAUCUUUUGUUCGUUCAAUCACCGUUCUGGUCUCGGUGAUUCCUAUAAGGCGUUCAUGGUAGAACUGAAUACUCGUGAUGAUAUCACGAAUAAUUUCUCUAUCUUCUCCUCGACGGAUGUUCAUUACGAGGGCUCGAUUAUUCCAGUUGAGGUCGUCUAAUAGACGAGUAGUUUCUCUCUCCAAAAAUUUGAAGAGAAUUCAUGUAUACAAUACAUCUCGAACACUCGUUCGGAUCCAUAAUUUUUAAUGGAGUCUCCUCCCACAUAGAUUAAUUAUAAAAUAAAUUAAAUAUAUUAUAAUUCCUCAAUAAACUCGGCCGCUAUGAUACCAUUUUAGGCACGGAUCUAUAAUUAAAAGAAAACAUCAUAAGGAAAUAUAAUUCUUUGGUUUAGAAUAUCCCAAAUUAUAAUAUAAGUGGGUAUUUGUGUAAUUAGUUUCAAAAAGGAGUAGUUUUUUGAAUUUUUAAGAAUUGAGCCGUGUUAAAUUUGGACAACAAUGAAAGUUGGUGUAUUAAAUUGGAAAAUCCUAAGUUUGCGUUAAAUUUGAAUUUUGAUCAAAGUUGGUGUUUUUUCAUGCAAUUAUCCCUAUUUUUAAUGAUCAUAAUUGCUGACUAACACUGUCUAUAUAGGAAUCAAAAGUGGGAUACCCUAUACGGUGAAACGACUGCAACAAAAGUUCUCUGCUACUUUGGAUUUUGAGGUGAGUCGGGUGACCGUGAUAGGGAAAGCCGGUUGUAACGAGUAUGUGACUCAUCCAAAGCUAAAUGUGGUCAAGGAGGUCAUCAUUUGGUUCUCUGCUGCAAUGGAGCUCAUGAACUCUACCAAUCCAUACUCGGGCACUAUCAAGUCCGUUGAUGACAUCGUGAUGUUCGUGUAGUGCAGGUACCCUUAGCAAUGAUUUAAGCUAAUUAGCACAAUUUGUUAACAACUUCCCACCGCCCUCAGGGCCGGUCCUGAGAAAAAUGAGGCCCUAGGCAAAAUUAUAAAAAUGGGCCCUCAAUAUAUUAG
rnacentral:lncRNA from 1 species